UCGUAACAAGGUUUCCGUAGGUGA
rnacentral:ncRNA from 3 species